UCGUGACUGCGUGCCUUUUGAAGAAUGAGCCUGCGAGUUUGCGGUGUGUUGCGAGGUUAACCCGUGUGGGGAAGCCGUAGCGAAAGCGAGUCCGAACAGGGCGCUGUAGUAGCACGCUCAAGACCCGAAGCGGAGUGAUCUAGCCAUGGGCAGGUUGAAGCGGCUGUAAGAGGUCGUGGAGGACCGAACCCACCAGGGUUGAAAACCUGGGGGAUGACCUGUGGUUAGGGGUGAAAGGCCAAUCAAACUCCGUGAUAGCUGGUUCUCCCCGAAAUGCAUUUAGGUGCAGCGUCGUGUGUUUCUUGCCGGAGGUAGAGCACUGGAUAGGCGAUGGGCCUUACCGGGUUACUGACCUUAGCCAAACUCCGAAUGCCGGUAAGUGAGAGCACGGCAGUGAGACUGUGGGGGAUAAGCUCCAUGGUCGAGAGGGAAACAGCCCAGAGCAUCGACUAAGGCCCCUAAGCGUACGCUAAGUGGGAAAGGAUGUGGAGUCGCAGAGACAACCAGGAGGUUGGCUUAGAAGCAGCCACCCUUGAAAGAGUGCGUAAUAGCUCACUGGUCUAGUGAUUCCGCGCCGACAAUGUAGCGGGGCUCAAGCGUACCGCCGAAGUCGUGUCAUUGCAGCAUUACUCCCAACGGAGGCUGUGAUGGGUAGGGGAGCGUCGUGUGCCGGGUGAAGCUGCCGCGUAAGCGAGUGGUGGACGGUUCACGAGUGAGAAUGCAGGCAUGAGUAGCGAUUCACACGUGAGAAACGUGUGCGCCGAUUGACUAAGGGUUCCUGGGUCAAGCUGAUCUGCCCAGGGUAAGUCGGGACCUAAGGCGAGGCCGACAGGCGUAGUCGAUGGAUAACCGGUUGAUAUUCCGGUACCCGCUGUGAAGCGUCAAACAUUGAAUCCAGUGAUGCUAAGCCCGUGAAGCCGCCCUGAUCUCUUCGGAGUUGAGGGGAGUGGUGGAGCCGGUGACCCAGGCUGGUAGUAGGUGAGUGAUGGGGUGACGCAGGAAGGUAGUCCAUCCCGGGCGGUGGUUGUCCCGGGGUAAGGGUGUAGGACGUUGGGUAGGUAAAUCCGCCUGGCACAUAGUCUGAGACCUGAUGCCGAGCCGAUUGUGGUGAAGUGGAUGAUCCUAUGCUGUCGAGAAAAGCCUCUAGCGAGUUUCAUGGCGGCCCGUACCCUAAACCGACUCAGGUGGUCUGGUAGAGAAUACCGAGGCGUUCGGGUGAACUAUGGUUAAGGAACUCGGCAAAAUGCCCCCGUAACUUCGGGAGAAGGGGGGCCACACCUGGUGAUCCGAUUUACUCGGUGAGCUGGGGGUGGCCGCAGAGACCAGCGAGAAGCGACUGUUUACUAAAAACACAGGUCCGUGCGAAGCCGUAAGGCGAUGUAUACGGACUGACGCCUGCCCGGUGCUGGAACGUUAAGGGGACCGGUUAGCUGACUUUCGGGUUGGCGAAGCUGAGAACUUAAGCGCCAGUAAACGGCGGUGGUAACUAUAACCAUCCUAAGGUAGCGAAAUUCCUUGUCGGGUAAGUUCCGACCUGCACGAAUGGCGUAACGACUUCUCGACUGUCUCAACCAUAGGCCCGGUGAAAUUGCAUUACGAGUAAAGAUGCUCGUUUCGCGCAGCAGGACGGAAAGACCCCGGGACCUUUACUACAGUUUGAUAUUGGUGUUCGGUUCGGCUUGUGUAGGAUAGGUGGGAGACUGUGAAGCGGCCACGCCAGUGGUUGUGGAGUCGUUGUUGAAAUACCACUCUGGUCGUGCUGGAUGUCUAACCCGGGUCCGUGAUCCGGAUCGGGGACAGUGUCUGAUGGGUAGUUUAACUGGGGCGGUUGCCUCCUAAAGAGUAACGGAGGCGCCCAAAGGUUCCCUCAGCCUGGUUGGUAAUCAGGUGGUGAGUGUAAGUGCACAAGGGAGCUUGACUGUGAGACCGACGGGUCGAGCAGGGACGAAAGUCGGGACUAGUGAUCCGGCGGUGGCUUGUGGAAGCGCCGUCGCUCAACGGAUAAAAGGUACCCCGGGGAUAACAGGCUGAUCUUCCCCAAGAGUCCAUAUCGACGGGAUGGUUUGGCACCUCGAUGUCGGCUCGUCGCAUCCUGGGGCUGGAGUCGGUCCCAAGGGUUGGGCUGUUCGCCCAUUAAAGCGGUACGCGAGCUGGGUUUAGAACGUCGUGAGACAGUUCGGUCCCUAUCCGCUGUGCGCGUAGGAAUAUUGAGAAGGGCUGUCCCUAGUACGAGAGGACCGGGACGGACGAACCUCUGGUGUGCCAGUUGUUCUGCCAAGGGCAUGGCUGGUUGGCUACGUUCGGGAGGGAUAACCGCUGAAAGCAUCUAAGCGGGAAGCCUGCUUCGAGAUGAGUAUUCCCACCUCCUUGAGAGGGUAAGGCUCCCAGUAGACGACUGGGUUGAUAGGCCGGAUAUGGAAGCCCUGUAAGGGGUGGAGUUGACCGGUACUAAUAGGCCGAGGGCUUGUCCUC
rnacentral:rRNA from 2 species